rnacentral:rRNA from 1 species
GAUGAACGCUGACAGAAUGCUUAACACAUGCAAGUCAACUUGAAUUUGGGUUUUUAACUUAGAUUUGGGUGGCGGACGGGUGAGUAACGCGUAAAGAACUUGCCUCACAGCUAGGGACAACAUUUAGAAAUGAAUGCUAAUACCUGAUAUUAUGAUUUUAAGGCAUCUUAGAAUUAUGAAAGCUAUAAGCACUGUGAGAGAGCUUUGCGUCCCAUUAGCUAGUUGGAGAGGUAACAGCUCACCAAGGCGAUGAUGGGUAGCCGGCCUGAGAGGGUGAACGGCCACAAGGGGACUGAGACACGGCCCUUACUCCUACGGGAGGCAGCAGUGGGGAAUAUUGGACAAUGGACCGAGAGUCUGAUCCAGCAAUUCUGUGUGCACGAUGAAGUUUUUCGGAAUGUAAGGUGCUUUCAGUUGGGAAGAAACAAAUGACGGUACCAACAGAAGAAGUGACGGCUAAAUACGUGCCAGCAGCCGCGGUAAUACGUAUGUCACGAGCGUUAUCCGGAUUUAUUGGGCGUAAAGCGCGUCUAGGUGGUUAUGUAAGUCUGAUGUGAAAAUGCAGGGCUCAACUCUGUAUUGCGUUGGAAACUGUAUAACUAGAGUACUGGAGAGGUAAGCGGAACUACAAGUGUAGAGGUGAAAUUCGUAGAUAUUUGUAGGAAUGCCGAUGGGGAAGCCAGCUUACUGGACAGAUACUGACGCUAAAGCGCGAAAGCGUGGGUAG